rnacentral:lncRNA from 1 species
CACAGUUCCUGGCCAGACAGCUGCUUCCCAGUGACAAAUCUACUUUAUAUCAAGAGUGAAAUCAUCCAGAAUAGAGUGAAUUCGGGCUUCAGAGCGGCUGUUUAGGAUUCAGAGCUCUACCAACAUGAGCAAUCUGUUGGCAUGACAGGUCAGAGAAGCCGUGAAGGACAUGGAAGGAAGUAGAUGGAACUGGAAACAGGAGGCCAACCCCAGCAGUCAGUGGUGCUCAGAAAAAAAUAAGACACUGAAAUUUGAGGACUUAAUGGAGUUUGGUGCCUUCAGUUAGCUGAUGUCUAUGAAGCCUGACCAGUCUACUUCUAGUCUAUAAGAUCAUGUGGAAGCUUCAGUGACAAACUUCUACUUUACUAAUGAUUUUAUGAUCCUGUUACCCAUUGCAAUUGCUUAAAUGGUAUUUUAAUUAGCUGCUUUAAAUGACUUUGCUUUUUUACAAAAAGCAGUGUGUGCUUUAGUUUAAAAUAUGGGUCACUGGUGUUUCUUUCUAGAAGAUGACUGUGUUUAGUACCAGGGAAAAUUGGUGAUGUAUUUGGAGAGGUUUUAACUUCUGUAACUCAGGUUGAUAUCUGGAAUGUGAGUGUUUCCAUACUUCCGUGGAUGCAGCAAAUUUAUAUAAAGCGUUAUUAAAUUUGUUCUAGUUUUUAA